UACGUAGGGGGCAAGCGUUGUCCGGAAUCAUUGGGCGUAAAGCGCGUGUAGGCGGCCAGAUAAGUCCGCUGUGAAAUCUCGAGGCUCAACUUCGAGCUGUCGGUGGAAACUGUCUGGCUAGAGUCCGGAAGGGGAGAAUGGAAUUCCUGGUGUAGCGGUGAAAUGCGCAGAUAUCAGGAAGAACACCCGUGGCGAAGGCGGUUCUCUGGGCCGAUACUGACGCUGAGGAGCGAAAGCGUGGGGAGCGAACAGG
rnacentral:rRNA from 1 species